GUAGGUGGCAAGCGUUGUCCGGAAUUAUUGGGCGUAAAGCGCGCGCAGGCGGUUCUUUAAGUCUGAUGUGAAAGCCCACGGCUCAACCGUGGAGGGUCAUUGGAAACUGGAGAACUUGAGUACAGAAGAGGAAAGCGGAAUUCCACGUGUAGCGGUGAAAUGCGUAGAGAUGUGGAGGAACACCAGUGGCGAAGGCGGCUUUCUGGUCUGUAACUGACGCUGAGGCGCGAAAGCGUGGGGAGCAAACAGGGAUUAGAUACCCUGGUAGUCCACGCCGUAAACGAUGAGUGCUAAGUGUUAGGGGGUUUCCCGCCCCUUAGUGCUGCAGCUAACGCAUUAAGCACUCGCCUGGGGAGUACGCCGCAAGGCUG
rnacentral:rRNA from 1 species